AGAUUAAGUUAUUAAGGGCGCACGGUGGAUGCCUUGGCACUAGAAGCCGACGAAGGACGUUACUAACGACGAUAUGCUUUGGGGAGCUGUAAGUAAGCUUUGAUCCAGAGAUUUCCGAAUGGGGAAACCCAGCACGAGUUAUGUCGUGUUAUCUGCAUGUGAAUACAUAGCAUGCAAGAAGGCAGACCCGGAGAACUGAAACAUCUUAGUACCCGGAGGAAGAGAAAGAAAAAUCGAUUCCCUGAGUAGCGGCGAGCGAAACGGGAAGAGCCCAAACCAAUAAGCUUGCUUAUUGGGGUUGUAGGACACUCUGUACGGAGUUACAAAAGAAUUUGUUAGACGAAUAACCUGGAAAGGUUAAUCAUAGAAGGUAAUAAUCCUGUAGUCGAAAACGAAUUCUCUCUUGAGUGGAUCCUGAGUACGACGGAGCACGUGAAAUUCCGUCGGAAUCUGGGAGGACCAUCUCCUAAGGCUAAAUACUCUCUAGUGACCGAUAGUGAACCAGUACCGUGAGGGAAAGGUGAAAAGUACCCCGGAAGGGGAGUGAAAGAGAACUUGAAACCGUGUGCUUACAAGUAGUCAGAGCCCGUUAAUGGGUGAUGGCGUGCCUUUUGUAGAAUGAACCGGCGAGUUACGAUCUGAUGCAAGGUUAAGC
rnacentral:rRNA from 1 species